rnacentral:rRNA from 1 species
CCCUUAGAUGUUCUGGGCUGCACGCGCGCUACACUGAAGCGUUCAACGAGUAUUUCACCUUGCCCGGGAGGGUUGGGUAAUCUUUUUAAAACGCUUCGUGAUGGGGAUAGAUUAUUGCAAUUAUUAAUCUUCAACGAGGAAUUCCUAGUAAGCGCGAGUCAUCAGCUCGUGCUGAUUACGUCCCUGCCCUUUGUACACACCGCCCGUCGCUCCUACCGAUUGAAUGCUCAGGUGAGCCAUUCGGACUUUCAUCAUGCUGGUUUCCAGUUUUGAUGAAGGAAAGUCUUGCGAACCUUAUCAUUUAGAGGAAGGAGAAGUCGUAACA